AGCAGUGGGGAAUAUUGGACAAUGGGGGCAACCCUGAUCCAGCGAUGCCGCGUGUGUGAAGAAGGCUUUCGGGUUGUAAAGCACUUUCAGUGGUGAAGAAGGCGGUUAGGUUAAGAGCUAAGCCGUUUGACGUUAGCCACAGAAGCAGCACCGGCUAACUCCGUGCCAGCAGCCGCGGUAAUACGGAGGGUGCGAGCGUUAAUCGGAAUUACUGGGCGUAAAGGGCGCGUAGGCGGUUCAUUAAGUUGGGUGUGAAAUUCCUGGGCUUAACCUAGGGCGGUCACUCAAGACUGGUGAGCUAGAGUACAGGAGAGGUCAAUAGAAUUUCCGGUGUAGCAGUGAAAUGCGUAGAGAUCGGAAGGAAUACCAGUGGCGAAGGCGAUUGACUGGACUGAUACUGACGCUGAGGCGCGAAGGCGUGGGGAGCAAACAGGAUUAGAGACCCUGGUAGUCCACGCAGUAA
rnacentral:rRNA from 1 species